rnacentral:ribozyme from 12 species
UUUUUUUUUUUUUUUUUUUUUUUUUUUUUUUUUUUUUUUUUUUUUUUUAAGCAAAUUAUGAAUUUUAUU